rnacentral:rRNA from 1 species
GACAGAGGGUGCAAACGUUGCUCGGAAUUACUGGGCGUAAAGCGCGUGUAGGCGGGCCCCCAAGUCGGACGUGAAACGCCCGAGCUCAACGUCGGGAACUGCAUCCGAAACUGAGGCCUUGAGUGAUGGAGAGGGAAGCAGAAUUCCUGGUGUAGAGGUGAAAUUCGUAGAUAUCAGGAGGAACGACCGGUGGCGAAGGCGGCUUCCUGGACAUUGACUGACGCUGAGACGCGAAAGCGUGGGGAGCAAACAGG